rnacentral:rRNA from 1 species
AGAGUUUGAUCCUGGCUCAGAUUGAACGCUGGCGGCAGGCCUAACACAUGCAAGUCGAGCGGAUGACGGGAGCUUGCUCCUUGAUUCAGCGGCGGACGGGUGAGUAAUGCCUAGGAAUCUGCCUGGUAGUGGGGGACAACGACUCGAAAGGAACGCUAAUACCGCAUACGUCCUACGGGAGAAAGCAGGGGACCUUCGGGCCUUGCGCUAUCAGAUGAGCCUAGGUCGGAUUAGCUAGUUGGUGGGGUAAUGGCUCACCAAGGCGACGAUCCGUAACUGGUCUGAGAGGAUGAUCAGUCACACUGGAACUGAGACACGGUUCAGACUCCUACGGGAGGCAGCAGUGGGGAAUAUUGGACAAUGGGCGAAAGCCUGAUCCAGCCAUGCCGCGUGUGUGAAGAAGGUCUUCGGAUUGUAAAGCACUUUAAGUUGGGAGGAAGGGCAGUAAGUUAAUACCUUGCUGUCUUGACGUUACCGACAGAAUAAGCACCGGCUAA